UACUACGGCUUUACUAUAAUUACUAUAACACGCGGAAACUCUACUGGUAGUGAUAAUGACCAGACCUAGUCGCAAGUCUUGACUCAUUCUUCUGGCUGUUAACUGAAACGCAAUAUAUUUUCAAAACACGUACACACGUGUAUAUAAACAGUGUUCAAUCAAUGAACAUUUCAGUACUUUAUUCAUUUGAGAAUCUGUCGAGCUUCUACUCACUGGAUCUUGAACACGAAGAAGAUGUCAGUUUUGAGUUUUGCGCUGUGUUUGUUGGUUGUUGUCUGGAUACAGCCACAUGAUACAUCGGCGUGGUUAUCAGGAAGUGUGUGCGGCCACAGGACAUACAACCCGGCGUUCCACAUGUGCUGUCGGGGAAACGUAGUGUCCAAAAGUGGAAUAAAGCCCGCAUGUUGUGGACGCCGAAAUUAUGAUGCCGCGUUCCACAUGUGCUGUGGAAGGAACGUAGUGUCCAAAAGUGGAAUAAGACCCGCAUGUUGUGGAAGCCGAAGUUACGAUGCCGCCUUCAGGCACUGUUGUAAUGGUCGUAUUUGCUAAGAUGACAUUUUCUGAAUAAACGUGUUGUAUGGUACUAAAAAACCCAUCUUGUUUUACCGGAGACAUGAUACUGUUAACAAAUAUACUGGGUAACACAGGGGUGAACACAACAGACGACUUCACGUCUUUAACGACAUUUCAAAAAUAAUUUUUAGUCACAAAGUUUAUAAUCCAUUUUUUAUCAAAUUGUUUUUCGUUAAUAUUGUAACAAAUAAUAAAAACCUAUAUUGUUAUAUUGAUGGUGAUAUUGUUACUGUUUUUACAGUAGAAGGAGAAGAAACAACAGGAGAGGGCCUCGUAAGUUGGACAACUUGUGCCCAAUACUUUUGUAUGUAUACAUUAUAAUAUGCAAUAAAAUCUGUUUUCAAUCAA